GACGAACGCUGGCGGCGUGCCUAAUACAUGCAAGUAGAACGCAGUUGCGAACGGGUGAGUAACGCGUAGGUAACUGCCUCAUAGCGGGGGAUAACUAUUGGAAACGCUAGCUAAUACCGCCUACUGUGAGAUGGACCUUCGUUGUAUUAGCUAUGUGGUGAGGUAACGGCUCACCAAGGCGCCGAUACAUAGCCGACCUUUGGGGGUGAGCGGCCACCACGGGACGUAGACACGGCCCAGACCUCCACGGGGGGCAGCAGUAGGGAAUCUUCGGAAAUGGACGGAAGUCUGACCGAGCAACGGCGCGGGAGUGGAGAAGGUUUUCGGAUCGUAAAGCUCUGUUGUUAGAGAAGCGGUAACUAAACAGAAAGGGACGGCUAACUACGUGCCAGCAGCCGCGGUAAUAC
rnacentral:rRNA from 1 species